UGUCUUGUAGUAUAUACAAACAUAUUACUGUAAACUGCAACUUUACCAAAGCAAUAGCCAAGACAUCCA
rnacentral:tRNA from 1 species